UCGUCAGAAACAAUUGGUCACCAUUAUCUUCUGUCAAUUCACAUCACCGACCUAGCCAUUACUCUAUAGCAGAUCUUUUUCAAUCUUUUGCUUAUCUGCUACAUUAUCAGAGAAGAGACUUUUCAACACUUUUAAUUUGAAACUCCUUCACCUCUUUCUCUCCAUGCAUUUCAGUUUGCAAUUCCCAGACGCUUCUUCUCUAUUGCAAACCGAACAGAACUUGGGAUGUCUCCUUCCAAAUAUUGUUCUUCACCCUUCUUUAAUGCUUCUUUUGCUAUGAAAUGGGCAUAAAUGUUUUUUUACUUUGGUAUAAAACGAAAUCGAAGAUGAAAAUGAGUCUUUGUGCUUUGGAUAUCUCUUAUGAUUGCCCCGAUCAUCGAUCUGUCUUGUUUUGUAUUCUGGCAUUUUGUUAUCACCGUUCUUGAAUCUCCUAUUAUUUCUAGAACUUGAAAGCCCAUAGCGAUCCUUAAAUUUGUUGCUUGAAAACCUGCAUGUGCUUCCGCUGCAAACGGAGAUGCCACAUCAGAGUGAAGAACAGACUUGGAUGCCAAAAUAUUGCCCCCCACAUCUCGUACAAUUAAUCCCGACGCUGAAUUGAAAAAUUGUUGGUCAAAAGCCACGUCAAAGUAAAUAGCCACAGACAUCCUUUGUUCAUCAUGUUCGGUUUUCCUGCCUUCUUCUAAGAUGAGUUUCUUUUCCUCUAUCCCCUUUAACUCUAAGAUAUAGCUGUAAAUUUUCUUUGAGAUGUCCCGACCUGUUGUGUUCUUUCUUUCGUAUAUUAACGUGUUUCUGUUUAUCCAUAUUAACCAUAACUCGCAACAGAAGAGGUGACACUGCUUAUUUGUCCCCUAACUAAACACCCAGGGCACUGUCGAAAAACGUGGUUGCUAUCCUCCCCAUUAUGCUGGCACUUAGGACACCGAUCAUCAAUAGCAACUCUUUUUAACUUGAGAUUCGAAAAAGUGGGAAUAAAAUCCCAAGAAUUUUUCCACACUGUAAUUUUAAUUUUCGAAGGCAUGUUUAGGUUCCACAAUUUCUUGUAAAAAGCCUUAGUAUUGGCCUGUAUAAAAUUACUAGGAUUUAGAGUAGAUUCCUGUAAUAGUUUAUAGGCACUUCUCACUGAGAAGUUACCGGAUGGUUCUCCUCUCCAAACUUGGAAAUCGUCAUAGACUGGCCUCGCCAAAGGGAUCUUCAUGUUUCUUCUAGCAAUAUUCGCCUAGAAGCCUAUCUUCAUUGUGUCUUGAUACCCAAAGAUCUUUCCAAACCGAGAUGCUAUCCCCCUUGCCAACUCUCCAAAAUAAGCCUUUCUCCAACUAUCCUUUUGCUGACCAGACGCUCUUCCAGGUAAGUAAAGUGUUAAGAGCUCGGAGGUCGGAUUUGGUCGGAGACACAUCACACUAUCAACUUCAAGAUUUUAGUAUAUCAAGAAACUUUGUUUUGGAAAUCAAUGGCAUGUAUAAGUUAAUAAAGUAAAUGUUAAUGUGAUACGAAUGUAAGGUCAGCCAUUGGUAUGACUAACAAAUCUUGGUUUUGGUAGGUGAUGAAGUUAUCUUAUAAAAAUGCAUGAAUCUAUCUUGAGAAUA